AGCUUUGUGCAGUGGCAGUAUCAUAGCCAAUGAGAUUCAUCCAAGGCACGAUUAUUGCUAACUGAAAACUCCCCUCGCCCCCUCCCAAAAAAAAAACCCUUCAGAAAACAAGCGAACAUUUCUUUGAAACCUACAACUUUAUCACCUUAGUCUUUUGUAGG
rnacentral:snRNA from 1 species